rnacentral:lncRNA from 1 species
UGUGUCAGAUAGGAAUGCAGGAGAAGGCAGACUGCCCAUAAGAAAUUCAGGGCCCCAGCAUAUGGUCACACAUAUUGUGACCUAUACAGCUCCAGGGGGUGGCAUUUACAUGACCUUCAUGAAUGUCACUCCAAAAAUUAUGAAGUAUGGCAGCCACUAGUACUGUUAAUAGUCCCAGUAUAGGACUCAAAAAUCUUUCAGUCUUAUUCAUUUGUGCUAAGAGUUUUAAUUCUCUAAUUAGUCUAGAGCCAUGUAAAGUAGGCCCUGAAACAUUCUUUAUAUAUCCUACUAUUUGUUUGUGAUAUGAAUCUGACAGAGCUAAAAGACACUUUUUGUCUUUUAAAUGGAAGAAUGUGUUAAGACACCGCUUAGAACUUAUCUGCUGUGAUCACAGCUGCGAACUGGUACUCAGAAUCAUGCACAAGUUCAAAUGGCAUUGCAUGGUAAGAUCUUUUUCAGUGUUGUUCACUGUGGUAUGCACCUUGGGAGGAAGGCUUUGUAGCCCAUACCUGAGUUUGACUCCAUCUUUGUUCACCAAUCAGUUUUUUACUCUUCUUCCUCUUCCCCAUCCAUUCAUGCUUCAGAGUCCUUAUGGAGAUUAUGUGACGUUCCCUACAGAAUGAGCAUCUGUAGCUAAGAAUCACGAAGAGUCAGCAUCCAGCCAGAGCACAGACAGGAGCCAAGAAUAACUGUCAUCAUAGAGGUUUCACCUCGCAACUGAUGACUGAUGGAAACAGAAGCAGAGACUCACAGCCAAACAUUAAGUGGAGCUUGGGGAAUCCUGUGGAAGAAGGGAAGAAGGACUGAAGGAGCCAGAAGGGCCAAGGACAUCAUCAGAAAACCUACAGAAUCAACUAACCUGGGCACAAAGGAGUUCAGAGAGACUGAACUGGCAACCAGAGAGCAUGCAUGGGAUGGACCUAGGCCCUCCACACAUAUGUAACCGUCUUGCAGCUUGGUUUUCAUGUAAGACUCCUAAAGUGGGAGCAGGGGCUGUCUCUGACUGUGUUGCCUACAUUUGGGUCCCUUUCCCUUAACCAGGCUGCCUUGUUUAUCCUCAAUAGGAGAUGAGUCUCGCCUUACUGCAACUUGAUAUGCCAGAGCUGUUGGUAUCUAUGGGAGUCCUCCUUUUCAGAGUAGAGGAGGAGAGGUGGCAGGUAGGGAGGGGAGGGGAGAGGGAGGGACUUGGAGGAGAGGAGGGAGAGAAAUCUGCAAUGGAGAUGUAAAGUAAAUAAAUAUGGCAGUUAAUUAAAAAGGAAAGCAACUCUGUAACUUAAGACACCCAAAUGGUGCACUUGGUUGAUGCCAGGAUACUGAAUUGCUUUUCUCCCUUCAGAAGCCCAGACCUUGGGUAUAUUUUCCUCUUUCCUUUUCUCUUAGACCCUGUGCUUUAAAGAUCUUCAUCAGCAGUGUCCAGUACUACACUGGCUCCUCUCCUCAAAAGCCCAUGCCUUUACUGUAUUUACUCCUUUUGUAAGCAUUUUCCUACCUGUUUUCUAAUAAAAUCCCAGCUUGGCUUCAUACUGAUUAGUCCUGAAAUUCUUUUCUGAACUGAAGCCACGGAUCUCAGUUUGUCUCCGUCAAGAUCCCUAAAUGACUAAAGGAAUCCCACAAAGUUGAGGGUGGCAGUGUGGGGCUGUGACUUUGUCCCCUUGCUGAUGACAGACCCUCUGAGAUACAAAAGAAUAGAAUAGAUUGCUUUGAAAGGAAUGUGAGUGUUUGUUGGGACAGCUGUUAAAACCUCUGUCUUCUUAUUUCACUUCUUAGUGGCUGGGUGAGUUGGGGCCUUGCCAGUAAGUCUCUUCUCUGAUCCUCAACGCAUGCAGAGAUGGUACUUUCCUUUGCACAGUAACCUGGAAAAUACCAUGUGGCUUGUCUUGCUUAGUGAAACAUUCGGGGGGAGACAGGGGCAAUUAAGGGUCUGGCUUUUUGGAGGUACCUUGAAUAUUUGAUUUAUUAGCUCUUGUUUCCCUUAUGUAUUGACUAUUUUAAACAUGAAUACAUAUGGAGCUAUG